rnacentral:rRNA from 1 species
AAUCAACGCUGGCGGCGUGCCUCAGACAUGCAAGUCGAACGAUUAAGACUUCCUUCGGGAAGUGUAUAAAGUGGCGCACGGGUGAGUAACACGUAAGUAAUCUGCAUUCGAAGUGGGGAAUACCUUCGGGAAACCGAAGAUAAUACCGCAUAAUGCAGCGGCACCGCAAGGUGACAGUUGUUAAAGGAGCAAUCCGCUUGAAGAGGAGCUUGCGGCAGAUUAGCUAGNGGUAAGGUAACGGCUUACCAAGGCUACGAUCUGUAUCCGGUCUAAGAGGACGGUCGGACACACUGACACUGAAUAACGGGUCAGACUCCUACGGGAGGCAGCA